GUAAGGCUUCCCUACUGGUUGUCCUCACUGUGGUUGAAUCAGAAGAGCAGGCAACCACCUUAUGGGAGAGCUUCCAAACAGUAAUUAGUGGAACUCUUUCUGGGGUUAAUUUCCCCUAGAGAAUGAUCUUCCUAUUCUUCACCAGGACAUGUGUAUUUUUGGCUGCCUUUUCCUCAGAAUGAAGUAAGGGAAGGGUGGGGGUGCUCCAUAGUUCAGUAUCUAGGCCUCCAUUAAUCCCCUGUUUUCAGCUUCACACCCAAUCCCCACCCUCUGAGCUGAAGACUCUCAGCUUAUCUUCUCCAGAGAAUAAAUCUUCUAUCUUCUGCAGAGGUUGCUGCAGUUUGUUUCUGACCAGGCUGGUGGUGAGGGUCCUAGUGGCUGGCAUCAAGGUAGGCCUCAGUUUCACACACUGUCCCAGUGCUCUGAGCCCAGAGAGCCUCCAGGAGAGAAGAUUUGGAGCAAGCCAGGGUCCCCUGGUGAUCCAGCCUCCUCUGCUGUUUAUGAAGCCUCGGUGUCAAGAUCUAAGGCCAAGACCACCUGGAAGACUAUUUGGGGGCUCAGCUGAAGAGCUUUGCAGAAAUGGGCUAUUUCAGGACUUGUUUUCUUUCUCAUUGGUAGGAUUGCUGCACAACCCAGGCCCAGCCCAGCUGAAAUUAAAAACCACCACCACCACCACCAACUCUUUGUCCUCCACACCCCAACAUUAGAGACCUUUGUAUUCUGUACAUAUUGUUCAAGGCUUCACAUGAAAAACUUUAAAACUCUCAGGAAGUUUUCAGGCAAAGAACAUUUUAAACCUUACUCUGCUUUCCUGCCAUCUUAACUGGGAAAGUGAAUAGAGGAGAGAAAGAGUUCAUGAAGGAGAAAAAUAAGGGAAGAAGGGAUUGUGGCAGCUCCCAGCAGCAGCCAUCCAGAGUAGCAUCUUGAUUUCAUAAGCCCCAUUUCAGCAUAAAUUAUCUCAUUUUUAGCUUGUCAAUUUGGAUAAUCUUGGCCCCGGAAUGGAUUCAGGGGGUCUUAAAUGAUCUAGUUUGGCUCUUCAUGGAGUCCGAAUUUGCAGAUAAUUGCCAGAGCUCUUUUGGCUGUGUAAACUUGUUAUCAAUUGCCUUUUUAAAAGUCAGCACUAAAAUAAUCAUUCCCGUGAGCAAAGCCCAUUACAAACCUUAAAUUCAGAAGCAUAAACACAUUUCAGUGCUAGGGAACAAAUGUGUUAAGAUUUCAUCAUUGCUACAUCUGUGAGGGCUUAUGAGAAGUCGGAGAUGCAUUAGGAGAGUCUCUGUGUGGCUAAGCCUCAGGCCUGAGCUGGAAGUUGACAUAGUGGCUUCAGGUGGGGAUCAUAUGCCUUCAGUAAGCCCUGAACAAGGGGUCACUGGGUAUCUCUCAUGUGCCUCACCCUGUGCAGCCAGUGGGCAGCAAUCCCGGCCUCACGCAUCACCACUCCUAUCUCACCUCCUGCCUCAGUAUUGACCCAUGUCAGGUCCUUCCUUAUGCCAGUCUGUCUCAUCCUCUUUGGUAGGAACCCUUCAUUUACAAAAGAAGAAGAAAAAAGAACCUCAAGAUCAGGCUGAGAAAGCAAUCAGUGGGCGAGUAGAAAGUGGUGGCCAAAUAGGCUGGAGCCUGUGUUCUGGCCUCCUGCCAUUGAUCUUGAGCAACUCCAUUGCUUUAGGCCUGAGUUUCCCAAUCCCCCAAAAGAAGGGUAUUAAUACCUGUUUGCUGUCUUUCAGGGUUGUUUUAAAAAUUCAACUUUAAAAUUGUAAAAUUAUUGUAUAAAUAUAAAACUUAUGCAUAAUACUUGUUAUGUUAAUAUAAAUGCAAGUUAUUAUUUCAAGACAGGCAUGGGCUUAAUCCCAGAUCAAAAUUUAGUUUCUUGGGUCUUAAGGCUGCCUAGAAUAUGUAUAUCGCAAGCUUUUGAAGUCAACUUGUCUCAUGCUAAAGUUUAUGUCCAUUUUUUUUUUUUUUUUAGCUUUCACUACUUGUGGGCAGUGGGUCUAAUGUGAUUUAUAGAGCGUAAAGGCAGCCCGUAUUAUUUUCUGUAGGGUUGAGUGGGAGGAGUGAGGAGGUGGGAGCUCUGGUUUCUGUUAAGUUAGCUUUUAUUUGCGCUAAACAUGUUAAAGGGAAUUUGCGCCACCUGCCACAGGUGAAAAGAGGAAUGUGGGGACAAGUUUGGUGUUUACAGGAGAUUUUUCGGAAGAUUUGCCCAGCUUGGUGGGAUGUAACCGUCUCCUCCUCUCCCCACAAAAUCUUCCGUAAAUGCUAUAUUGUUCAUCAAGGCUUUCAGAGUAGGAUCAUGUUUGAGGAGGAGAUAUGACCGUGUACGGAGAUGAGUCUAUUGUAGGUAGGGCUUGAUCAAGGAUGAUUCAAAGAAGUUCAACUACUUUCGGAUUAUAUAAAGAUCACUCAAGUGAGGAGGAUCCUGGAGAAUGGAUUUAGAGUAGAAGAGGAUCCGAGACUGGACAUAAGAAAACCAGAAUGGAGACUCCUGCAAUUGUCCUGUGAACAGGCCUAAGGCAGUGACCCAGACAAUAGAGAGAAGGAACAGAACUGAAUGAUAUCCAGGAAGCAGAAUCAAUAGAAGCUUGUUGCUAGCCAGAUGGAAGAGUUAACGGAGAGGGAGGAAUCAAGGACGUAUACAGGUCUCUGGUUUAGGGAACCCAGAAGACUGUGUCCUCCUAUCCCAGAAAAAUGGGGCAGUUCUAGGGAUAGUCCUGUUUGGGAUAUGAUGAUUUUGAGAUAUCAUAUGAGACAUUCAAGUGAGUACGUGCAGUAAGCAGUUGGACAUAUGGGACUGUGCUAGAGAUACCCACUACCAUUUCUUACCUGGAUUAUUGUACUAGCCUCCUAAUGGGUCUACUGCUUCUACCUCUGACUGCCCCCUGCUAUCUGAAUUAUAAAAGAGUUUCUGCAACACUUUAUGUUAGAAACAGCUUAAAAUGUGCAGGUUGCUUGAUUGGCAAAGGAUGUAAAUUUCAAGUAAUACUUAGUCAGCAGCCACUGCUGGAAAUACCUGACUAUAGGAAAGAUGUCUUUAGGAGUUGAGAAGAUAGCUACUUUCAUUGAAGAAUAGUAUGAGUUGUAGAGUUUUCCCAUGUUAGUAGUGGAUGUUUCCUCUUUGUCUUCUUCUGCCAAAUGAAAGAAAAGGAAGAGCAAGAGGAAACUAAAGAGAAGAUACUUUUCCAUCCUUGUGAUGGUUCCUUCUUACAGUUAAUAUGUAUAAUUAAGACCAGGAUGCAGAGAAGUCCUCAGCAACAGUGGGGCCUGGCUCAGAGGGGCCUUUGAUGCACACGAUCCUGAAUCCUCGGGAAUGUUAUCCAGGCCUUGAUGAAAGUUGAUUCCAUGGUAAAAUAUAGGGUGAAUUAGAAAGGGUUUGUGACAAUACAUCCUCUGCAGACAUGACCACACUACUUAUUCCUUAGGUGCAGCCACUUACCUGGUUUUACCUGAGGACCCCAUGCUACGUAUACCAUGGGUUUGGUCCACCCCCAGUAGGAAGUAUGUGAGCACCGUCAGGUUAGGCUAGAAAUUAUCUUUAUGAUCCUGUUGACCUGUGCUUGAUAUUAUUUCUGUCUGGCUACCUUGGUUCUGACUUGGUACCUGUUCUGAUAUCUGGGUUCUGCUUGCCACUCAACCUCUGUUGGACAUAUCUGGAUCUCUGACUCAAUCUUAUUCCGCCCUCCAAUUCUUCUCUAACCCUUCUCAUCAAAGUGCCAAGGGUCAGACUCAGCUGUAGUUAAUGGCAAAGAUGACCCAGAAAUGCCCUGAAAGGCAUUGGAAUUGAUUUCUUAAACAUCUUCAUCAGUGAUCAUUUACACCAUUAGUAUGUGCUGUAUUUAGCUGUUUAAUUUAAUAUGUGUAAUUAAAUAAAAAGGAAGAAUGGAAAAUUUGUAGCCAACUUCUCAAAGAGUUAGGAAUACCUAAGGUGCCAUCUUUCUUCAUCAGAUCUAUUGAACCCUUUUGAGCCACUACAGCCACUGCUGUGGUCUGGCCAGUUGCCUUAACAUAGCAUAACCUAUAAAUUCAUCAUUCCUGCCUUCCUGCCUUGCACAUGCAAUUCUCCUUUGUGAUCCAAGUGUCUGUUCCCACCUCUGCAAAUUCAGAUCUGACAGGUCUGGCUCAGGCUUUGUCUAUGGGUAUCUCCCUGACCAUAUUAUAAUACACUGCUUCCUCCUGGUUCCAAAUUCCCAUAGGAGAUCAGUCUGUUUUAUAAGCUCAAUGUGCUAGGGUAGGGCUCUGUGGGAAAAGGAAAGGGCCUGGGUUGAAUUUAGAAUGACCUGGAUUCAGAUUCUGCCUCUAACGCUUACUAGUAGUGUGACUACAGACAUGUUGCUUAAACCCUGUCUUCUCAACUGUGACCAGUGGAUUAUCACAGCACGUUUAACAAAAAGGUAAUUGUUGCAAGGAUCAAAUGGGAUAAUCUAUGCAAAGCAACCAGCAAGUGAAUGGGCUCAGUAACUGUUUAAAAGCUCACAACAGUCUGAGUCACACGUUACACUCUGUUGAUCCCAAGUUGCUUUGCGCAUGCAAAGCUUGUAUCUUCUCUGCCUUGAAAGUGCUAAGAAAAUGCUUUUUAAAUAAAAUGAGGCUAAAUGCUCCCCUCACUGCCACUUUCUCUGCCUUGCCACAUAGGCACUUAACAGAACGUAAGUAUUAACACGCAUUUACUGUUGAAAAACAUUUUCUUAAUUACACAUUCUUAAUUAACAUUUCUUAAUUACACUAAUGAUUCUUCAUGCAAGACCCUGUGGGAGAUGGGAAAAAGAAUGUAUUUUUCUAAUUUUUCUGAUGAAGAAACUGAGGUAUCAAUUAAGACUGUGCUCUUCAAAUUAUCACACAAAGGUGUAGUAAGUGUGGAAGAAGCACCAGUGUUCUGGUCCCCAGGCCAUGUCUGAUCCUCUUAGUUGCGCUGCCUCUCCAAUUAACUUCUCUGUGUGCUCAUCAGCUCUGGUCACCAUGAUUCAGGAGACUUGAGCACUCACACUGUGGGGUUUUCAGAUCUUGUAGACCUGCUCUGCACUGCCCUGGGGCAGGAACCCCACCAUCUUGGUGGCCAACUGUAUUACAUUGGACAAGCUGUGGCCAUCCUUGGGCAGGUUACAGAGAGCAGAGAAGGACAAGAAAUGGAGGCACCACAGGACUGAGCCAUAACCAUGCCCUGACGAAGCUGCUGAAGACACACAGUCCCUUUUCUUGGAGGCUUUCCUUCCCUAAUGCCACGGGCCCAACCUCCUCUACUGUCUUCUAUUCUUCUUCCUCUUUCACCCAUUUAAGGUGACAUUUAAUUAUUUCCCACCUAUUUCUUUCUUGAUAAUUACAAACAACAUUGUGAUGAUUAUUCUUAUAAUUAGAUAUCUGUGCAUAUUUAAACUAUUUUUUAGAUAGCAAAAUUUUCCACCUACAUUGUGUUCCAUUCCCAUAGGGAACGGGGCAUAGUUCUGGGACAAGAAUGUUCAGCAUGUUUGGUCUUGUGGAUAAAAGCAUGCUGAGGACGACAAGAAGUGUGCAUGGCAGGACUGAGACCAAUACUCAGGUCUGGUCAAAGGAUCUACAUCCCGCACAGGGUGCAGUGAAGACCAAGAUCCACGUUCAGAAAAAAAUACCACUCCUUCACCCUCCGCUCCCACAUGAAGGCUGUAGGAACUCAGGGAAUUGUGGAAGAAGAGAAGAGAAAGAGGAGGGAGGAUGUAUUAGCUUUUUAUUGUUGUUGUAAAAAAUUUUGUGGCUUAAAACCACAAACUUAGUGGCAAGACAAAUUUAUUCUGUUAUAGUUAUAGUGGUCAGAAGUCUAAAAUAAAGUAUUGAUAUGGUUGUAUUCUUUUUGAAAGCUUCAGGAGAAAAUCAGUUUGUCUCUUCCAGUUUCUAGGGGUCACAUGCAUUCUUUGGCUCAUGGGACAUCACUCUAGCUUCUGG
rnacentral:lncRNA from 10 species